UCUUGAGUUUUCCCGAAGAAGAGUUGUUUCCAAGAUCUGCAGUAUCUGGAGAAUAACAGGGAUCAGAAAAAACAUCUCUGAGAUGGUAUCUAACAUCCACUGAUUAGUGAGCAAGUAGGCAAGAAAACUGUCCAAGCACAGGGCCCAGCAUGUGCCAAAGCUCAGAGCUACAGGUUCACAGGACAUUGAAGAGAGAAACAGGAACAUGAUAGUUACUUGGCCUGGACUCUGCCUAGGAGUGACCAAUGCUCAGAGAGCACUGGAGCCCUGAAGUUCAGAGUGCAGGAGAACUAUUCCUUGGGAAGAAAAGUAUGUUUGCACCCACGGAACUUGCUCUGCAUUUUUUGGCACCUUGCAUGGAGACCAACACACAGCUUGAACUCAGGAUUCUACGAUCAAGAGUCAGACGCUCAACCAGCUGAGCCAACAGUGAACUUUCCCAGAGGCUACGUGUUCUGUGGCAUCACAGCAGAUUGAAUGCAGAGCCACUAGGAGAAUCCAGCUGUCUUCUACUGAGCCAACUAUUAAAGAGAUCUGUGAAAAAUAAAACCUU